CAAGCGAGACUUCCGGUUGAACCUCUGGAGGCUUCUGACAGAGUCGGAAGCUGCGGAAACCGGGAUGGUGUUGCUCAAGAGCGAGCAGUUCCUGACGAAGCUGACCAGGCUCUUCCAGAAGUGCUGGUCGUCGGGUAGCGUGUUUAUCACCCUGAAGAAGUGUGAUGGUUGCACCAAACCCAUCCCACAGAAGAGUUCCGUGGAGGGCCUCGAGCCCGCAGAAAACAAGUGUCUGUUAAGGGCCACGGAUGGGAAAAGGAAGAUCAGCACAGUGGGGAGCUCCAAAGAAGAGAAUAAGUUUGAGAUGGCCUAUUCAAAUCUACUGAGAGCCGACAUGAAUGGGCUGAAGAAGAGGGACAAGAAGAACAAGAGUAAGAAGAGCAAACCAGCAGUGACAGGCGUGGCCACUACCAACCAGCUGCACCAGUGCAGUUUUCCUGUUUGCUGCUUUCAGUACCCCUAACCUUCGGGAUCUGGAGGAUGUGCAGGAUCCAGGAGGAGCUUUGCCUCCCCCAUGGCCCAGCAACAAGGCACGUCACGUGGUCUUCCCAGGUAUCCGGCACCAGUAGAUUCCAAAGAAACCAACCACGGAAGAGCUCCACGUGAAGAGACAGGGUUUCUCUGUGUACCCUUGGAUGUCUUGGAACUCACUCUGUCAACCAGGCUGGCCUCAAACUCAGAAAUCCACCUGCCUCUGCCUCCUGCCAGUGAACUGUGAUCAGCGAGUAAACCUGGCCUCUGAGGUUCUCUAAUUCAACACGUGACUGCUUCCUCUUGCAUGGGAGUCCAGCAUGGUGCCAUCAGCCAUAUUGUGAUAUAGCCAGAGGGCCCUUGCCAGAGCCGAGUACAUGCAAAUGCUGCACUUUGAGUCUACAGAAAUAUAAAAUAAAUAAAGCUUACUUUAAUAAGCA